rnacentral:rRNA from 1 species
UACAGAGACCUCAAGCGUUAUCCGGAAUCAUUGGGCGUAAAGCGUACCGACAGGUGGUUUACUAAGUCAGAGGUGAAAUCCCAAGGCUCAACUUUGGGACUGUCCUUUGAAACUAGUAAACUAGAGGGGCAAAGAGGAAGCUGGAACGAACGGUGUAGUAGUGAAAUGCGUUGAUAUCGUUCGGAACACCGAUAGCGAAGGCAGGCUUCUGGGUGCCACCUGACACUGCUAGGACGAAAGCGUGGGGAGCGAAUGGG